rnacentral:rRNA from 1 species
GGGCCCGCACAAGCGGUGGAGCAUGUGGUUUAAUUCGACGCAACGCGAAGAACCUUACCUGGGCUCGAACGGCUACUCACAGAGGCAGAAAUGUCUUGUCUCCUUCGGGAGAGUAUAGUCGAGGUGCUGCAUGGCUGUCGUCAGCUCGUGUCGUGAGAUGUUGGGUUAAGUCCCGCAACGAGCGCAACCCUUACUAGUAGUUACUAACGGACAAUGCCGAGGACUCUACUGGGACUGCCUGCGACAAGCAGGAGGAAGGUGGGGACGACGUCAAGUCAUCAUGGCCCUUACGUCCAGGGCUACACACGUGCUACAAUGGCUGGCACAAAGAGACGCAAAGUGGCGACACUGAGCAAAUCUGAGAAAUCCAGCCCCAGUUCGGAUAGGAGUCUGCAAUUCGACUCCUUGAAGUUGGAAUCGCUAGUAAUCGCAGAUCAGAAUGCUGCGGUGAAUACGUUCCCGGGCCUU